rnacentral:rRNA from 1 species
AGCGAACGCUGGCGGCAGGCUUAACACAUGCAAGUCGAGCGGGCACUUCGGUGUCAGCGGCAGACGGGUGAGUAACACGUGGGAACGUACCCUUUGGUUCGGAAUAACGCUGGGAAACUAGCGCUAAUACCGGAUACGCCCUUUUGGGGAAAGGCUUGCUGCCGAAGGAUCGGCCCGCGUCUGAUUAGCUAGUUGGUGGGGUAAUGGCCUACCAAGGCGACGAUCAGUAGCUGGUCUGAGAGGAUGAUCAGCCACACUGGGACUGAGACACGGCCCAGACUCCUACGGGAGGCAGCAGUGGGGAAUAUUGGACAAUGGGCGCAAGCCUGAUCCAGCCAUGCCGCGUGAGUGAUGAAGGCCUUAGGGUUGUAAAGCCCUUUUGUCCGGGACGAUAAUGACGGUACCGGAAGAAUAAGCCCCGGCUAACUUCGUG